GAUGAACGCUGGCGGCGUGCUUAACACAUGCCAGUCGAACGAGAAGUGGAGACGGAAACCUUCGGGCGGAAGACUUUAUUUCGAGUGGCGGACGGGUGAGUAACGCGUGGGUAACCUGCCUCAUACAGGGGGAUAACAGUUGGAAACGACUGUUAAUACCGCAUAAGACCACAGCACCGCAUGGUGCGGGGGUAAAAACUCCGGUGGUAUGAGAUGGACCCGCGUUCGAUUAGCCAGUUGGCGGGGUAACGGCCCACCAAAGCGACGAUCGAUAGCCGAUCUGAGAGGAUGACCGGCCACAUUGGGACUGAGACACGGCCCAAACUCCUACGGGAGGCAGCAGUGGGGAAUAUUGCACAAUGGGGGAAACCCUAAUGCAGCGACGCCGCGUGAGUGAAGAAGUAUUUCGGUAUGUAAAGCUCUAUCAGCAGGGAAGAAAAUGACGGUACCUGAGUAAGAAGCCCCGGCUAACUACGUG
rnacentral:rRNA from 1 species